GAUUGGACAGCGGCGGCAACCCAGGUACGUGCGCGAUGACGCAACGCUACGUGACCGGAAGUUACGUUCGUAUGUUGUUAUCACAUCUCCAACCCGGUUACAACUAUAAAAACUCUCUUUUGAAGAAAUCAUACCUGUAGUACUCCUGGUUUUGAGAGGUGUGAGGUGGGAAGGUGCAACAUACACAAUCAUCACAUUAACUGUACAGUGAACUUUUUAAUGCAUGUGUUAAUUUAAAUGACUUGACUUUGCUCUUACUGGAACUAUGAGGGGUCUGCAGGUUAUCUAUAGAGACUUUUUACUGACGUGAUGCAUUUCCGUUCACCAAUUUGGAAAUGUGUCCCAUUAAAAAUGAACAUGGUGACUAAAGGGUGAACUCCAGGCUUUCACUUCAGUUCAGGUAAUUUCUAACGAGGGUAGAUCACCAUGGUUACUUAUGCAGAGCUCCUUAUUGGAUCCAGGGUAGAAUAAGAGGUCAGAUAGUAAGACCAAGCCUAUGACCAAUGAGUUUGUCUGCUUUGUGAGCUGUGUGCGGAGGGAAAAAGAGGACUGACAGGUCAGGAGGAUUUAACCUGUGAGAAAAAGUUACUGAUUAAGAUCUCUUGACCUUAUGAUGCAAUAAAAACAAAGGUGGUCCCAGCUGUUUUCAUAUUUGGACUGUAUAAUAAAUUGAUGUAGCGUCUGUGAUGUCCAUCAUUUGUGAGUGAAGGAGUUUUGAAGCCAUUCAGAGGCAGUCGGAGAGUUGGUGAGGCAGACUGAACCUAGCUUUUGUACAGAGCCGGCCCAAGGCAUAAGCGAACUAAGCGCCUGCUUAGGGCCCCGUAGCCAAUAGGGGUCCCCCAAGAGCAAUCAAAAACAAAAAGUUUAAAAUAUUUUUUUAUUUUCUGCAUGUAUGAGUGAUGCUUCCUGUAUAAAACAAAAACAUUUUAGUGCUGCUGCUGAUGUAGGACGAUGAUUCUUACUGCCGAUAUGUCAAAGCUCCGCUACCGUUUUGUGCCUUCUGCUGUGCAAUGUGCACUGAGCAUCCAAAGCGCAGGUAGUUGUGGAUCAAAA